GUGCGCUUCCGCGGCUGCAGGGUCGUCGAGUCCUCGUGGUGGGGCGUCUCUGCGGGCUUGGCGCGCUCCCUCCUCCACCGGGACCCUCUCUCAGCACCUGGCGGGAUCGCGGUGCAGCUGGAGAGUGGAGGGAGUGAAGAACUGAAUAUCACCAUGUCCGGAAUCAAGAGAACAAUUAAAGAAACUGACCCUGAUUAUGAAGAUAUAGCUGUGGCCCUUCCAAAUAAGCGACAAAAAGCAAUUGAGAAUUCAGCUCGAGAUGCUGCUGUCCAGAAGAUUGAGACUAUUAUCAAGGAACAAUUUGCUCUUGAAAUGAAAAAUAAAGAACAUGAAAUUGAAGUCAUUGACCAGGUAUAAAUGAUAAUACAUUGAA